CCUCAUCCUCACUCUUGUCCACAGCCACGAGCGCCGGUCGUUGAUAGCUGGAGUGCUCUGCGUCAUAUUUGGGGCCGCCAUGUACGCCGCUCCCUUGGCUGCCAUGGUAUGUUCUUGGAUGGUUAGUGUGAUCACGUAGAGCACAAGUGGUUGUUGGUGGCACCACUAGACUAGACUUGCAUGCCGACCUUUUACUUCUUCUUCUUGUUUCGACUCCCUACCGAGAUGUCACCGAAAUGAAUCGAAGAACAAGAACGCAAGACCGCUCUUGUGCUUUUUUGUUCCUUGUUUCGUCUUCAUCUGGUACUGCUGAAGUAGGUGAUUUGGAUCUGGAUGGGUGCAGAGACAGGUGAUACGGACAAGGAGCGUGGAGUUCAUGCCUCUCCCCCUUUCACUGGCCU
rnacentral:lncRNA from 1 species